UCUUAAUCUAUAUAAGUAGUACAACAAUUGAAAACUCAUAAAUAAUGGCGGUCUUAAUUAAUUAGAGAAACUCGCUUAAAAAUCGUAACUACCCGCUCAAUCUCUCCUUUUUUUAAAGUUUAUAUACCGCCGUUUACAAGUUUUUGUCAAAAAACAUAAGUCAAAACUAAAAAUCAUUACAAAAAUCAGGUCAAGGUGUAACAAAUAAAAAGGCUUAAGUAAGUUACACUAAAUAUAAUUUAAGGACUUUAUUCUAAAAAAAUAAAUAAAAAAGAAUUUAUUCGUACAAUUUAAUAAUAAUUUAACUUAGAACAAUUAAACUAAGACGC
rnacentral:rRNA from 1 species